GUGUAGCAAUACACCGCUGGCGACCGGCGCACGGGUGAGUAACACGUAUCCAACCUGCCCUUUACUCGGGGAUAGCCUUUCGAAAGAAAGAUUAAUACCCGAUGGUAUAACAUGACCUCCUGGUUUUGUUAUUAAAGAAUUUCGGUAGAGGAUGGGGAUGCGUUCCAUUAGGCAGUCGGCGGGGUAACGGCCCACCAAACCUUCGAUGGAUAGGGGUUCUGAGAGGAAGGUCCCCCACAUUGGAACUGAGACACGGUCCAAACUCCUACGGGAGGCAGCAGUGAGGAAUAUUGGUCAAUGGGCGAGAGCCUGAACCAGCCAAGUAGCGUGAAGGAUGACCGCCCUAUGGGUUGUAAACUUCUUUUAUAUGGGAAUAAAGUUUGCCACGUGUGGCAUUUUGUAUGUACCAUAUGAAUAAGGAUCGGCUAACUCCGUGCCAGCAGCCGCGGUAAUACGGAGGAUCCGAGCGUUAUCCGGAUUUAUUGGGUUUAAAGGGAGCGUAGGUGGACAUGUAAGUCAGUUGUGAAAGUUUGCGGCUCAACCGUAAAAUUGCAGUUGAUACUGCGUGUCUUG
rnacentral:rRNA from 1 species